UACAGAGGUCCCAAGCGUUGUUCGGAUUCACUGGGCGUAAAGGGUGCGUAGGCGGUCGGGUAAGUCUGAUGUGAAAUCUCACAGCUUAACUGUGAAACUGCAUUGGAUACUAUCCGGCUCGAGGAAUGGAGGGGAGACUGGAAUACUUGGUGUAGCAGUGAAAUGCGUAGAUAUCAAGUGGAACACCAGUGGCGAAGGCGACCACCUGGGGUUGUUCUGACGCUGAGGAGCGAAAGCUAGGGGAGCAAACGGG
rnacentral:rRNA from 1 species